rnacentral:rRNA from 1 species
GGACCCGCACAAGCAGCGGAGCGUGUGGUUUAAUUCGAUGCUACACGAAGAACCUUACCAAGGUUUGACAUGUAAGUGGUAGUGAUCUGAAAAGUGAACGACCCUUCGGGGAGCUUACACAGGUGCUGCAUGGCUGUCGUCAGCUCGUGUCGUGAGAUGUUCGGUUAAGUCCGCUAACGAGCGCAACCCUCACUGUGUGUUACAAGUGUCACACGGGACUGCCGGUUUUAAGCCGGAGGAAGGCGAGGAUGACGUCAAGUCAGCAUGGCCUUUAUAUCUUGGGCUACACACACGCUACAAUGGUCUGUACAAUAGGUUGCCAAGCCGCGAGGCGGAGCCAAUCCUAAAAGCAGGCCUCAGUUCAGAUUGCAGGCUGCAACCCGCCUGCAUGAAGAUGGAGUUGCUAGUAACCGCAGGUCAGCUAUACUGCGGUGAAUACGUUCCCGGGUCUU